GAAGGACCGCUCCGUCUCACGGGUCACUUGGACAGUGGGCGCACCCGAGGGUUGAGGCGUCAUCCUACGGCGGGGUCAGAGGGAAGGGGCCUCCUGACCUGGCUAAGCACCUUGGAGGGAACCCUGGCCACGAGGGAUCCAAGCACCGCUCUGGUUUCCCAGAAGCCUGUGGAUGACUCUCAUCUGGCGGUGGACCUCAGAUGGGGCUCAGCAGUGAAAGAGGGGAAGACAAAAAUCUGGCGAGCGAGCUGCCCGGGCCGAGACUGGCCACUUCAAACAGCCCUUCAAACAAAAGGAGACGACGAAAAGAAAGCCCCACCUGU
rnacentral:lncRNA from 1 species